rnacentral:rRNA from 1 species
UACAGGGGGGGCAAGCGUUGUUCGGAAUUACUGGGCGUAAAGGGUUCGUAGGUGGCCAACUAAGUCAGACGUGAAAUCCCUCAGCUUAACUGGGGAAGUGCCUCUGAUACUGAUCGUCUCGAGGGGGAUAGGGGCGUGCGGAACUUCCGGUGGAGCGGUGAAAUGCGUAGAUAUCUGGAGGAAUACCGGUGGCGAAGGCGGCAUCCUGGACCGAAACUGACGCUGAGGCGCGAAAGCUAGGGGAGCAAACGGG